AUAACCCAUGGUAAUAUGUCUCUAUACCCAACACACAGCCCACUAUAACCCAUGGUAAUAUGUCUCUAUACCUGACACACAGCCCACUAAAACCCAUGGUAAUAUGUCUCUAUACCUAACACACAGCCCACUAUAACCCAUGGUAAUAUGUCUCUAUACCUAACACACAGCCCACUAUAACCCAUGGUAAUAUGGCUCUAUACCCAACACACAGCCCACUAUAACCCAUUGUAAUAUGUCUCUAUACCCAACACACAGCCCACUAUAACCAAUGGUAAUAUGUCUCUAUACCUGACACACAGCCCACUAUAACCCAUGGUAAUAUGUCUCUAUACCUAACACACAGCCCACUAUAACCCAUGGUAAUAUGUCUCUAUACCUAACACACAGCCCACUAUAACCCAUGGUAAUAUGUCUCUAUACCCAACACACAGCCCACUAUAACCCAUGGUAAUAUGUCUCUAUACCCAAUACACAGCUCACUAUAACCCAUGGUAAUAUGUCUCUAUACCUAAUACACAGCCCACUAUAACCCAUGGUAAUACGUCUCUAUACCUAACACACAGGCCACUAUAACCCAUGGUAAAAUGUCUCUAUACCUAACACACAGCCCACUAUAACCCAUGUUAAUAUGUCUUUAUUCAUGACUCAAAGCCCACUAUAACCCAUGUUAAUAUGUGUCUAUACACUACACAAAGCCCACUAUAACCCAUGGUAAUAUGUCUCUAUACCUAACACACAGCCCACUAUAACCCAUGGUAAUAUGUCUCUAUACCUAACACACAGCCCACUAUAACCCAUGGUAAUAUGUCUCUAUACCCAACACACAGCCCACUAUAACCCAUGGUAAUAUGUCUCUAUACCCAACACACAGCCCACUAUAACCCAUGGUAAUAUGUCACUAUACCUAACACACAGCCCACUAUAACCCAUGGUAAUAUGUCUCUAUACCCAACACACAGCCCACUAUAACCCAUGGUAAUAUGUCUCUAUACCCAACACACAGCCCACUAUAACCCAUGGUAAUAUGUCUCUAUACCCAACACACAGCCCACUAUAACCCAUGGUAAUACGUCUCUAUACCCGACACACAGCCCACUAUAACCCAUGGUAAUAUGUCUCUAUACCCAACACACAGCCCACUAUAACCCAUGGUAAUAUGUCUCUAUACCUGACACACAGCACACUAUAACCCAUGUUAAUUUGUCUCUAUACCCGACACAAAGC
rnacentral:lncRNA from 1 species